rnacentral:rRNA from 1 species
GUACACUCCUGCGGGAGGCAGCAGUGGGGAAUUUUGGACAAUGGGCGAAAGCCUGAUCCAGCAAUGCCGCGUGAGUGAAGAAGGCCUUCGGGUUGUAAAGCUCUUUUGUCAGGGAAGAAACGGUGAAAGCUAAUAUCUUUUGCUAAUGACGGUACCUGAAGAAUAAGCACCGGCUAACUACGUGCCAGCAGCCGCGGUAAUACGUAGGGUGCAAGCGUUAAUCGGAAUUACUGGGCGUAAAGCGUGCGCAGGCGGUUUUGUAAGUCUGAUGUGAAAUCCCCGGGCUCAACCUGGGAAUUGCAUUGGAGACUGCAAGGCUAGAAUCUGGCAGAGGGGGGUAGAAUUCCACGUGUAGCAGUGAAAUGCGUAGAUAUGUGGAGGAACACCGAUGGCGAAGGCAGCCCCCUGGGUCAAGAUUGACGCUCAUGCACGAAAGCGUGGGGAGCAAACAGGAUUAGAAACCCGUGUAGUCCCAUGAU